CUGUAGAAUCCCCCAGAGCACCACUGCACAACAUGGACUGGACCUGGAGAAUCCUCUUCUUGGUGACAGUUGUGAAAAGUACCCAGGGCCAGGUGCAGCUCGUGCAGUCUGGGGCUGAGCUGAGGACACCUGGGGCCGCAGUGAAGGUCUCUUGCAAGGCUUCUGGAUACACCUUCACCAGUUACAACAUGUAUUGGGUGCGACAGAUUCCCGGAGAAGGGCUAGAGUGGAUUGGAUAUAUCAACCCUUGGAAUGGCAAUACUAAUUAUGCUCAGAAGUUCCAGGGCAAGGCCACCCUCACUGCUGACACAUCUUCCAGCACAGCCUACAUGGAGCUGAGCAGCUUGAAGUCUGAGGACACGGCCGUGUAUUACUGUGCAAGUCGAGGGGGAGGUAGCUAUAACACACACUGCUUUUGUAAGGCUUCAAGGAAGGGGCAAGGCUGGACCUUGUCAUUUGUAACCAGUGGAGAUAGCAUACACUAUGCAGACUGGAAGGGCCAACUGACCAUCUGCAGAGAUGAGGCCAAGAGUAAUGUGUCUACAAAACAUGCCUGA